UCGCCUUACAAGAUGGCCUGAAGUAGC
rnacentral:sRNA from 1 species